CACCGCCCGUCACACCAUGGGAGUUGGCUUUACCCGAAGACUGUGUGCUAACCGCAAGGAGGCGAGCAGGCCACGGUAGGGUCGAGCGACUGGGUGG
rnacentral:rRNA from 1 species